rnacentral:rRNA from 1 species
UGUUAACUAGCAUAUUCAUUUGACGUUAGCUGCAGAAGAAGCACCGGGCUAACUCCCGUGUCCAGCAGCCGCGGUAAAUACGGAGGGUGCGAGCGUUAAUCGGAAUUACUGGGCGUAAAGCGCAUGCAGGUGGUUUGUUAAGUCAGAUGUGAAAGCCCGGGGCUUCAACCUCGGAAUUGCAUUUGAAACUGGCAAACUAGAGUACUGUAGAGGGGGUAGAAUUUCAGGUGUAGCGGUGAAAUAGCGUAGAGAUCUGAAGGAAUACCGGUGGCGAAGGCGGCCCCCUGGACAGAUACUGACACUCAGACUGCGAAAGCGUGGGGAGCCAAACAGGAUUAGAUACCCCUGGUAG